GUGUCAGCCGCCGCGGUAAUACCGGCAGCCCAAGUGAUGGCCGAUCUUAUUGGGCCUAAAGCGUCCGUAGCUGGCCGCACAAGUCCAUCGGAAAAUCCACCCGCCCAACGGGUGGGCGUCCGGCGGAAACUGUGUGGCUUGGGACCGGAAGGCGCGACGGGUACGUCCGGGGUAGGAGUGAAAUCCCGUAAUCCUGAACGGACCACCGAUGGCGAAAGCACCUCGAGAGGACUGAUCCGACAGUGAGGGACGAAAGCUGGGGUCUCGAACCGGAUUAGAUACCCCCGUAGUCC
rnacentral:rRNA from 1 species